GACGAACGCUGGCGGCGUGCUUAACACAUGCAAGUCGAACGGAAAGGCCCUGCUUUUGUGGGGUGCUCGAGUGGCGAACGGGUGAGUAACACGUGAGUAACCUGCCCUUGACUUCGGGAUAACUUAAGGAAACUGGGGCUAAUACCGGAUAGGAGCUCCUGCUGCAUGGUGGGGGUUGGAAAGUCUCGGCGGUUGGGGAUGGACUCGCGGCUUAUCAGCUUGUUGGUGGGGUAGUGGCUUACCAAGGCUGUGACGGGUAGCCGGCCUGAGAGGGUGACCGGCCACAUUGGGACUGAGAUACGGCGCAGACUCCUACGGGAGGCAGCAGGGGCGAAUAUUGCACAAUGGGCGGAAGCCUGAUGCAGCAACGCCGCGUGCGGGAUGACGGCCUUCGGGUUGUAAACCGCUUUCGCCUGUGACGAAGCGUGAGUGACGGUAAUGGGUAAAGAAGCACCGGCUAACUACGUG
rnacentral:rRNA from 1 species